UUCCGGUUGAUCCUGCCGGAGGCGACCGCUAUUGGAGUUCGAUUAAGCCAUGCGAGUAGAAAGAAAUUAGAUUCUUUGCAUACUGCUCAGUAACACGUGGAUAACCUGCCCUACACUGGGGGAUAAACUCGGGAAACUGAGUAUAAUACCCCAUAGACCACUACGCCUGGAACGGUGAGUGGUUGAAAGCUCAGGCGGUGUAGGAUGGGUCUGCGGCGUAUCAGGUCGUAGGGGGUGUAAUGGACCUCCUAGCCAUCGACGCGUACGGGUUGUGGGAGCAAUAGCCCGGAGACGGAUUCUGAGACACGAAUCCGGACCCUACGGGGUGCAGCAGGCGCGAAAACUUCACACUGCAGGAAACUGUGAUGAGGGAACUCCAAGUGACUGCCCAAUGGGUAGCCUUUUCUUGAAUCUUAAUAGUUCUUGGAGUAAGGGCUGGGAAAGACCGGUGCCAGCCGCCGCGGUAAUACCGGCAGCUCAAGUGGUCGUCGCUUUUAUUGGGCCUAAAACGUCCGUAGCCUGUUUGGUAAAUCUGUGGGUAAAUCAACGAGCUUAACUCGUUGAAUUCUGCAGAGACUGCCAGACUAGGGACCGGGAGAGGUAUGAGGUACUCUGGGGGUAGGGGUAAAAUCCUGUCAUCCUC
rnacentral:rRNA from 1 species